GGCUUUGUGCAGUGGCAGUAUCAUAGCCAACGAUGUUUACCUGAGGCAUGAUUAUUGCUAAUUAAAAAAA
rfam:Cavia porcellus supercont2_2 genomic scaffold, whole genome shotgun sequence.